rnacentral:misc_RNA from 1 species
GAAAUGCGAUAAUUAAUGUGAAUUGCAGAAUUCAGUGAAUCAUCGAGUCUUUGAACGCACAUUGCGCCCCCUGGUAUUCCGGGGGGGCAUGCCUGUCCGAGCGUCAUUGCUGCCCUCAAGCACGGCUUGUGUGUUGGGCUUCCGUCCCUGGCAACGGGGACGGGCCCAAAAGGCAGUGGCGGCACCAUGUCUGGUCCUCGAGCGUAUGGGGCUUUGUCACCCGCUCCCGUAGGUCCAGCUGGCAGCUAGCCUCGCAACCAAUCUUUUUAACCAGGUUGACCUCGGAUCAGGUAGGGAUACCCGCUGAACUUAAGC